GAUGAACGCUGGCGGCGUGCCUAAUACAUGCAAGUCGAGCGAACAGAUAAGGAGCUUGCUCCUUUGACGUUAGCGGCGGACGGGUGAGUAACACGUGGGUAACCUACCUAUAAGACUGGGAUAACUUCGGGAAACCGGAGCUAAUACCGGAUAACAUUUGGAACCGCAUGGUUCUAAAGUGAAAGAUGGUUUUGCUAUCACUUAUAGAUGGACCCGCGCCGUAUUAGCUAGUUGGUAAGGUAACGGCUUACCAAGGCGACGAUACGUAGCCGACCUGAGAGGGUGAUCGGCCACACUGGAACUGAGACACGGUCCAGACUCCUACGGGAGGCAGCAGUAGGGAAUCUUCCGCAAUGGGCGAAAGCCUGACGGAGCAACGCCGCGUGAGUGAUGAAGGGUUUCGGCUCGUAAAACUCUGUUAUUAGGGAAGAACAAACGUGUAAGUAACUGUGCACGUCUUGACGGUACCUAAUCAGAAAGCCACGGCUAACUACGUGCCAGCCGCCGCAGUAA
rnacentral:rRNA from 1 species